UAUAUCAGUGAUUAUCUGUUUGAUUGUCUUCCCCAUUGGAUAACCGUGGGAAAUCUAGAGCUAAUACAUGCAGUUCAUUGGUUUUACCGAAAGGUUUGGUCAAAGCAUUUAUUAGACUUAACCAUCUACUGCGUGGCAACACGCGGUAAGGCGAAUCUAGAUAACUUUGCUGAUCGUAUGGCCUUGUGCCGACGACGUUUCAAUUGAGUUUCUGCCCUAUCAAUUUGUUGGUAAGGUAUUGGCUUACCAAGGUUGCAACGGGUAACGGGGAAUCAGGGUUCGAUUCCGGAGAGGGAGCCUGAGAAACGGCUACCACAUCCAAGGAAGGCAGCAGGCGCGCAAAUUACCCAAUCUAGACAGUAGGAGGUGGUGAAGAGAAGUACUGAGUGGUGGUCAAUGACUACCAACUUGGAAUGAACGUAAUUUAAGCAAUUCGAUGAGUAACUACUGGAGGGCAAGUCCUGGUGCCAGCAGCCGCGGUAAUUCCAGCUCCAGUGGCGUGAUUUAAAGUUGCUGCGUUUAAAACGCUCGUAGUUGGAUCACGCAGUAGUAUUCAGUAAUCAAGGUCAAUGUAUGCUGACGAUUGCCCUCUGGGUGGAUUGGAUCUUCAUUUGGCUGAGAUGUUAACGCUGAAUGCUACUAUUUGCACACAAGUGUGGUAUUUGACCUUCAGUGUGUUGAGUAUCAUGCCUUGUGGAGUGUGCCUUGAAUAAAACAGAGUGCUCAAAGCAGGCGAAAGCUUGAAUGUUAUAGCAUGGAACGAACAAACGUGUAUUUGUGUAUGUUAGUAAUGAUUAGGGGUGACUUUGGUCGUUGCUGGCGUGCACAGCACCCACCAAAAUACGGAUGUUGGUUUUCGUAUCAGGUGAUGAUUAACAGGAGCGGUUGGGGGCAUUGGUAUUUGGCCGCGAGAGGUGAAAUUCUUGGACCGGCCAAGGACUAACAGAUGCGAAGGCGUUUGUCUAGACCGUUUCCAUUAAUCAAGAACGAAAGUGAGAGGUUCGAAGACGAUCAGAUACCGUCCUAGUUCUCACCUUAAACUAUGCCGACCUGGGAUCAGCUUAGUGAUUUGCAAGCACUAAGUUGGUCCCCCUGGGAAACCUCAAGUUUUUCGGUUACGGGGAGAGUAUGGUCGCAAGUCUGAAACUUAAAGGAAUUGACGGAAGGGCACCACCAGGGGUGGAGCCUGCGGCUUAAUUUGACUCAACACGGGGAAACUUACCUGGUCCGGACAUCGAAAGGAUAGACAGACUGAUAGAUCUUUCUUGAUGCGGUGAGUGGUGGUGCAUGGCCGUUCUUAGUUCGUGGAGUGAUCUGUCAGGUUUAUUCCGGUAACGAACGAGACCACCUUCUCCAUUUAAGACACGGUAGUAAGAGGUUGGGUGCUUCUGUUUCGGCAG
rnacentral:rRNA from 1 species